rnacentral:lncRNA from 1 species
CCCCGGGGGCGGGUUGUGGGGCCCCGGUGUCCGGGUGGUGACGCAGCCCUGGCACAGGAGGCCUCGCGUGGUGCCGAGCGGGCGGAGGCAGCAGCGGCGGAGACAGAGGCGCUGCGUGCCAGCACCACCGCCCUCGAGCAGGCGGCAGCGGGGCUGCGGGAGCAGAGCGGGGCGCUGGCCCGGGAGCUGCAGGAGGCCCAGGGUGCCCGCGAGGCCCUCGAGGCCCAGCUGCAGGUGAGGGCUCCCCCGCCGGGGGGCCC